rnacentral:rRNA from 1 species
AGGUAGCAAUACCUUAGUGGCGAACGGGUGAGUAAUGUAUCGCUAACGUACCCUUCAGUCAGGGAUAGCCGGGGGAAACUCCGGGUAAUACCUGUUGACAUUCUUUUCUCGCAUGGGAGAAGACUCAAAGGAGCAAUCCGCUGGAGGAGCGGGCGAUAUCGUAUCAGCUAGUUGGUGAGGUAACGGCUCACCAAGGCGACGACGCGUAGCCGGACUGAGAGGUCGGUCGGCCACAUUGGGACUGAGACACUGCCCAGACUCCUACGGGGGGCUGCAGUAACGAAUCUUCCGCAAUGCACGCAAGUGUGACGGAGCGACGCCGCGUGUGGGACGAAGUCCUUCGGGAUGUAAACCACUGUCAGGGGUUACCAAGUUCUGAGGAACCCCAGAGGAAGGCACGGCUAACUCUGUGCCAGCAGCCGCGGUAAGACAGAGGUGCCGAGCGUUAGGCGGAAUCACUGGGCUUAAAGCGUGUGUAGGCGGGCCGUUAAGUAUCUUGUGAAAUCCCCCGGCUCAACCGGGGAAUGGCUGGAUAUACUGGCGGUCUUGAGCGAUCUAGGGGCAGAUGGAACAGACGGUGGAGCGGUGAAAUGCGUAGAUAUCGUCUGGAACGCCAAAGGUGAAGACAGUCUGCUGGGGAUCUGCUGACGCUGAGACACGAAAGCCAGGGGAGCGAACGGGAUUAGAUACCCCGGUAGUCCUGGCCCUAAACGAUGUCGACUAGAUCGUGGGACCUCUGACGGUUUCACGGUCGAAGCAAAAGUGCUAAGUCGACCGCCUGGGAAGUACGGUCGCAAGGCUAAAACUC